rnacentral:rRNA from 1 species
UACGUAGGGUGCGAGCGUUGUCCGGAAUUAUUGGGCGUAAAGAGCUCGUAGGCGGUUUGUCACGUCGGAUGUGAAACCCCGGGGCUUAACUCCGGGCCUGCAUUCGAUACGGGCUGACUAGAGUUCGGCAGGGGAGACUGGAAUUCCUGGUGUAGCGGUGAAAUGCGUAGAGAUCGGGAGGAACACCAGAGGCGAAGGCGCCUAGCUGGACAGAUACUGACACUCAACUACGAAAGCGUGGGGAGCAAACAGG